rnacentral:rRNA from 1 species
CCUACGGGCGGCAGCAGUGAGGAAUAUUGCCCAAUGGGGGAAACCCUGAGGCAGCAACGCCGCGUGAACGAUGACGGCCUUCGGGUUGUAAAGUUCUUUUCUGAGGGACGAUGAUGACGGUACCUCAGGAAUAAGUCCCGGCUAACUACGUGCCAGCAGCCGCGGUAAAACGUAGGGGACAAGCGUUAUCCGGAUUUACUGGGCGUAAAGCGCCCGUAGGCGGUUGGCGAAGUUGGACGUGAAAGCUCCCGGCUUAACUGGGAGAGGCCGUUCAAAACUGGCCGACUGGAGACUGGAAGAGGAGAGCGGAAUUCCCGGUGUAGUGGUGGAAUGCGUAGAUAUCGGGAGGAACACCAGUGGCGAAAGCGGCUCUCUGGUCCAGGUCUGACGCUGAGGGGCGAAAGCGUGGGGAGCGAACGGGAUUAGAUACCCCAGUAGUC